GAAGAGCUGAAAACAUCAGCUGUGUCCAACAUUCAGUUCCUGAUUGUUUCAUGCAGAUGUCACAAAUGAAGGGAAGAUUUUUUUCUUGCUCAUUACAGACAAUCUAAGGAGCUUGAAAAGAGCAACUGGACUUAUAAAUUUUUCUUGCAGACAUUUCAUAUGAGAAGCUUCUUCAGUUCUAAAAUCAAAUUUUGGAGAGACUUAGGGUGGAGCCUGCUGGAGUCCGAUGGUUGAGACCAGGUCUGAGGAAAUAUUCCUGUCAACUCACAGUCGACACAAACACAGUACACACAAAACUCCAACUGUCUGAGAACAACAGGAUGGUGGCACAUGUGGAGGAGGUUCAGUCAUUUCCUGAUCAUCCAGACAGAUUUGAUUACUGGCCUCAGCUGCUGUGUGAAAAUGGUCUGACUGGUCGCUGUUACUGGGAGGUCGAGUGGAAAGGAGGGGUUUAUAUGUCAGUUAGUUACAGAAGAAUCAGAAGGAAAGGAGACAGUAAAGAUUGUUGGUUUGGAUACAAUGAUCAGUCCUGGAGCCUGAUCUGCUACGAUGAUGGUCCUCAUUCUGUCUGGCACAAUAACAGAGGAACAUCCAUCUCCUCCUCCUCCUCCUCUGUCUCUAACAGAGUAGCGGUGUAUGUGGACGUUCCUGCUGGCACUCUGUCCUUCUACAGAGUCUCCUCUGACACUCUGAUUCAUAUUCACACCUUCAGCACCACAUUCACUGAAACUCUUUAUCCUGGGUUUAGAUUCAGGUAUCUUGGUUCCUCAGUGUCCCUGUGCUGAGUUGAGUUUAACGAGUGUCCUCCUGUUAGAGAAACACUCUUGACUGUUGAACA